GUACACUCCUGCGGGAGGCAGCAGUGGGGAAUUUUGGACAAUGGGCGAAAGCCUGAUCCAGCAAUGCCGCGUGAGUGAAGAAGGCCUUCGGGUUGUAAAGCUCUUUUGUCAGGGAAGAAACGGUGAAAGCUAAUAUCUUUUGCUAAUGACGGUACCUGAAGAAUAAGCACCGGCUAACUACGUGCCAGCAGCCGCGGUAAUACGUAGGGUGCAAGCGUUAAUCGGAAUUACUGGGCGUAAAGCGUGCGCAGGCGGUUUUGUAAGUCUGAUGUGAAAUCCCCGGGCUCAACCUGGGAAUUGCAUUGGAGACUGCAAGGCUAGAAUCUGGCAGAGGGGGGUAGAAUUCCACGUGUAGCAGUGAAAUGCGUAGAUAUGUGGAGGAACACCGAUGGCGAAGGCAGCCCCCUGGGUCAAGAUUGACGCUCAUGCACGAAAGCGUGGGGAGCAAACAGGAUUAGAUACCCGUGUAGUCCCAU
rnacentral:rRNA from 1 species